rnacentral:rRNA from 1 species
UGGGGAAUUUUGGACAAUGGGGGAAACCCUGAUCCAGCCAUCCCGCGUGUGCGAUGAAGGCCUUCGGGUUGUAAAGCACUUUUGGCAGGAAAGAAACGUCGCGGGUUAAUACCCCGCGAAACUGACGGUACCUGCAGAAUAAGCACCGGCUAACUACGUGCCAGCAGCCGCGGUAAUACGUAGGGUGCAAGCGUUAAUCGGAAUUACUGGGCGUAAAGCGUGCGCAGGCGGUUCGGAAAGAAAGAUGUGAAAUCCCAGAGCUUAACUUUGGAACUGCAUUUUUAACUACCGGGCUAGAGUGUGUCAGAGGGAGGUGGAAUUCCGCGUGUAGCAGUGAAAUGCGUAGAUAUGCGGAGGAACACCGAUGGCGAAGGCAGCCUCCUGGGAUAACACUGACGCUCAUGCACGAAAGCGUGGGGAGCAAACAGGAUUAGAUACCCUGGUAGUCCACGCCCUAAACGAUGUCAACUAGCUGUUGGGGCCUUCGGGCCUUGGUAGCGCAGCUAACGCGUGAAGUUGACCGCCUGGGGGGUACGGUCGCAAGAUUAAAACUCAAAGGAAUUGACGGGGUCAUAGCUGUUUCCU